rnacentral:rRNA from 1 species
AACGAACGCUGGCGGCAGGCCUAACACAUGCAAGUCGAACGAAGCCUUCGGGCUUAGUGGCGGACGGGUGAGUAACACGUGGGAACGUACCUUUUGGUUCGGAAUAACGCAGAGAAAUUUGCGCUAAUACCGGAUGAGCCCUUCGGGGGAAAGAUUUAUCGCCGAAAGAUCGGCCCGCGUUGGAUUAGGUAGUUGGUGUGGUAAAGGCGCACCAAGCCUACGAUCUAUAGCUGGUCUGAGAGGAUGAUCAGCCACACUGGGACUGAGACACGGCCCAGACUCCUACGGGAGGCAGCAGUGGGGAAUCUUGCGCAAUGGGCGAAAGCCUGACGCAGCCAUGCCGCGUGAAUGAUGAAGGUCUUAGGAUUGUAAAAUUCCUUUACCAGGGACGAUAAUGACGGUACCUGGAGAAAAAGCCCCGGCUAACUUCGUGCCAGCAGCCGCGGUAA